rnacentral:rRNA from 1 species
CCCUUAGAUGUUCUGGGCCGCACGCGCGCUACACUGAUGCAUUCAACGAGCCUAUCCUUGACCGACAGGUCCGGGUAAUCUUUGAAUCUGCAUCGUGACGGGGAUAGAUUAUUGCAAUUAUUAAUCUUCAACGAGGAAUGCCUAGUAGGCGCAAGUCAUCAGCUUGCGUCGAUUACGUCCCUGCCCUUUGUACACACCGCCCGUCGCUCCUACCGAUUGGGUGUGCUGGUGAAAUGUUCGGAUCGGCCGUUUGUCGCGGUUUCCGCGUCAUGUGGCUGAGAAGUUCAUUAAACCCUCCCACUUAGAGGAAGGAGAAGUCGUAACA